CAGUCGCCGCGGUAAAACGUAGGGGGCAAGCGUUAUCCGGAAUAACUGGGCGUAAAGGGUGCGCAGGUGGUUUAACAAGUUAGUGGUGAAAAGCAUAGGCUCAACCAAUGUAAGCCAUUAAAACUGUUUAACUUGAGUGCAGGAGAGGGAAGUGGAAUUCCUAGUGUAGCGGUGAAAUGCGUAGAUAUUAGGAGGAAUACCAGUGGCGAAGGCGACUUUCUGGACGAAAACUGACGCUGAGGCGCGAAAGCCAGGGGAGCGAACGGGAUUAGAUACCCCUGUAGUCCCUGUCUCUUAUACA
rnacentral:rRNA from 1 species